GACAUGUAAUGCCAUGGGGGUAGGAAGCCUGGACCUAUUCUCCGAAUGUAACUCUCCGGGGUUCCAGAUCUGGUUUCCUUCUGCUUCUUUAAUACCUACAACAGCCUUUGGCAAAUAACAAUAACUCAAUAAGUGUCUUCACCUGUCAUUUUCACAAUCCAUCCUCCCUCUCCCAAGUACAACCAAGGAAAAUAAUCUGGAUCUGAAUGAAGCACUCCAAAUAUGGGUCCGACAGAUGAUACCUCAACAUGGGACACAAACAAACAGGGGCAACUACAGAUUGGUGCUGUAAUGUGGGGACACAACAGAUGGCAACUAGAUUGGUGCCCAACAUAGGGCUAUUACAGAUGGCAACUACAGAACUUGGACAUGAGUACACCAGGACAAUAAUGAUAGAUGGCACAAAUGGGCACCAUAGGUGAAAUGUGAAGUGAGAAGUGAGUGCUCAGAAAAAAAGUGAAGUGAAAUAUGGUGAGUCAAUCUCAGGAUUAAAUUGCAUAUAAUUGUAGAUAUGAAGCAGAAACAUAUUGGUUAGCUGAUUAUAAAUUUGUUUAUGUAUAUUUUAAUAGCCAUGAGAACUAGAAUAAAGCACAAUCUAGGACAGUAAUUUUAGAAUUUGUAAAUUUCCCUUCCCCAUGCUAAAGCCACCACUGUAGCUGUCUCAGAGUGUCACUGGGGCUCAGGGAAGUGAAGGUAUGGCCCUACACAAGCUCUAGGUCAGCAGGACAUGCAGGUUCUGUGGUCUCUGAGAUGCUACAAUGGCAGCCUUUGACUUUGCAAGGAACCACAGCAACCCAUGACCUGUCAUGGGGUCAGCCCAGGCCCAGAGGACAAAAGCGAGCUGAGGCCUCCAGGUCACCCAGUCCCUAGUGGGAGGCCUGAGCCAUGAAGUCUGCAUGCAGCUUUGGGAGCUGCUGUGGCAGUCACCCCCACCCCCAGCAAAGUGUAUGUGAAAAUGCUAAUUAAUGUAGCCUGUCAGAAACUGCCUUAAAACCUUUUAGAAAGGAAGCAUAUAUAACUGAUUUAUUCAAAUUUGUUCAUAUAUUGGAUACUUAUACAUUCAGUGGGUAACUAUGACUGCUUUAUUACAAAGGAUUUCAGUUGAAGAUGUUUAAUUCCAACAAGCUAAUCAUGCCCUAGUGAAAAGGAGGGCUGAAGGGAACUCGUUGGAAUUGCUCAAGUCAAGUGGAAAGAUCCUUGCACUGGAUUAUGGAAAGGACCUGAUCCUAUUUUAACAUGGGUUCAAGGCCAUAUUAUUGUUUUCUGGAAAAAAGGAAAUGAGGCCCAAUAUCCAUCAGAAAGUCUGAUGAGGUGUGUGGAGCAGAGGAAUGCCAGACCUGAUGACACUGUGACUGUUGGAGCCCCGCUCCCCCAGCAAAGGAAUUUGAAUGAGAUCUGCUGAAUCUGUGUUCCUAACCCUCGGAUGUAAUCAUUAUUCAGUCUGAGAAAGGAAGGAGAUUAUAAUGAUGGCUAGUGAUUUCCAGUUUCUCUACAAACCUGCUGCAUCAACUUCCCAGACCUCUGUGAGUUUUAAUUAUCCUGGAUCUGGUUGAGGACUGAGUGUCUAUCAGUUUAUUCACACUAUAUCUUGAGAUAUAGAGCUCAUUUUUGCCCAUCAAAAAUUAUUUCUUCUGUUGCCUAUGAGACUUCCUGUUGUAAUUUAAGUAAAGCAGCUUGUGAGAGAAAGAGGUCAUGAGACAGGGUUAAAGCAAACAAGUAUUUUAUUAGGGAAAGGGAUCACAAAACGGCAAAGGGACAGGAGAGGCCAACCUCUGGAGAGGAGUAGCACACCAGAGAACAGAGGAUAGAGGA